rnacentral:rRNA from 1 species
AAUAGAUACCCGGGUAGUCCACGCCCUAAACGAUGCGAACUGGAUGUUGGGCUCAACUUGGAGCUCAGUAUCGAAGCUAACGCGUUAAGUUCGCCGCCUGGGGAGUACGGUCGCAAGACUGAAACUCAAAGGAAUUGACGGGGGCCCGCACAAGCGGUGGAGUAUGUGGUUUAAUUCGAUGCAACGCGAAGAACCUUACCUGGCCUUGACAUGCACGGAACUUUCCAGAGAUGGAUUGGUGCCUUCGGGAACCGUGACACAGGUGCUGCAUGGCUGUCGUCAGCUCGUGUCGCGAGAUGUUGGGUUAAGUCCCGCAACGAGCGCAACCCUUGUCCUUAGUUGCCAGCACGUAAUGGUGGGAACUCUAAGGAGACCGCCGGCGACAAGCCGGAGGGAGGUGGGGAUGACGUCAAGUCAUCAUGGCCCUUACGGCCAGGGCUACACACGUACUACAAUGGUGGGGACAGAGGGCCGCAAUGCCGCGAGGCGGAGCCAAUCCCAGAAACCCCAUCCCAGUCCGGAUUGGAGUCUGCAAC